GAUUGAUUUCUAAUCUCAUAGUGCUUUGGUCGGGAAAGUUGCUUGAUAUGAUUUCAGUUUUCUGAAAUUUACUCAGGGCUUGCUGUGUGGCCCAGAAUGUGAUCUAUCCUGGAGAAUGUUCCAUGUGCACUUGAGAAGAAGGUGUAUUCUGCUGCUUUUGGAUGGAAUGUUCUGUAAAUAUCAGUUAAUCCCCUUGGUCUAAUAUGUCAUUUAAGGCCUGUGUUUCCUUAUUGAUUUUCUAUCUGGAUGAUCUGUCCAUUGAUGUAAGUGGGGUGUUAAAGUCCCCCAGUUUUAUUGUGUUACUGUUGAUUUCUCCUUUUAUGGCUGUUAGCAUUUGCCUUAUAUAUUGGGGUGCUUCUAUGUUGGGCGCAUAUAUAUUUACAAGUGUUAGAUCUUCUUCUUGGAUUGAUCCCUUUAUCAUUAUGCAGUGUCCUUCUUUGUCUCUUAUAAGUCUUCAUUUUAAAGUCUAUUUUGUCUGAUAUGAGUAUUGCUACUCCAGCUUUCUUGUGAUUUCCAUUUGUGUGGAAUACCUUUAUCCAUCCCCUCACUUUCAGUCUGUAUAUGUCCUUAGAUCUAAAGUGGGUCUCUUGUGGACAGCAUAUAUACGGGUCUUGUUUUCAUGUCCAUUCAGCCAGCCUGUAUCUUUUGGUUGGAGCAUUUAAUCCAUUUUCCUUUAAAGUAAUUAUCAUAUGUAUGUUCUUAUUGCCAUUUUGUUAAUUGUUUUGGAUUUGUUUUUGUAGGUCUUUUUUCUUCCCUUCCUCUUUUUUUCCCUUGUGAUUUGAUGACUAUCUUUUGUGUUGUGUUUGGAUUGCUUUUUCUUUUUUGUAUGUGUAUCUAUUGUAGGUUUUUGGUUUGCUGUUCCCAUGAGGUUUUGAUAUAGUAGUCUGUAUAUAAACAAGAUUGUUUUAAGUUGCUGGUCUCUUAAUAUCAAAUGCAUUUCCAGUACCCUGCAUUUGUACUCUCCUCAGGAUUGCUGGUUUUGAUAAAUUUGUGUGUGAAUGAUUUCCUACGUUUACUGUAUGUUUGCCUUUACUGGUGAGCUUUCCCAUUUGUAAUUUUCUUGUUUCUAGUUGUGUCCUUUUCUUUUCUGCCUAGAGAAGUUCCUUUAGCAUUUGUUGUAGAGCUGGUUUGGUGGUGCUGAAUUCCCUUAGUUUUUGAUUGUCUGUAAAGCUUUUCAUUUCUCUGUCAAAUCUGAACAAGAGCCUUGCUGGGUAGAGUAGUUUUGGUUGUAGGUUUUUCCCUUGUAUCACUUAAAUAUAUAGUGCUACUCCCUUCUGGCCUGCAGAGUUUCUGUGGAAAAAAACAGCUGAUAACCUUAUGGGGUUUCCCUUGUUUCUUAUUUGUUGCUUUUUAGUUUUACUACUAUAUGUGUCUCGACGUGUUCCUCCUUGGGUUUAUCGUGUAUGGGACUCUGCACUUCGUGGACUUGAGUUUGUGUUCCCUUUCCCAUGUUAGGGAAGUUUUUAGUUAUAAUCUCUUCAAAUAUUUUCUCAGGUCCUUUCUCUCUCUCUUCUCUUCUGGGACCCCUGUAAUGGGAAUGUUGGUGUGUUUAAUGUUGUCCCAGAAGUCUCUUAGACUGUCCUCAUUUCUUUUCAUUCUUCUUUCUUUAUUCUGUUCUGUGGCAGUGAUUCCCACCACUCUUUCAGCUCAUUUAUUUGUUCUUCUAUCUCAUUUAUUCUGCUAUUGAUUCAUUCUAGUGUAUUUUUCAUUUCAAUUAUUGUAUUGUUCAUCUCUUCUUUAAAUCUUCUAGCUCUUUGUUAAACAUUUCUUGUAUCUUCUUGGUCUGUGCCUCCAUUCUUUUUCCAAGAUCUUGGGUCAUCUUUACUAUCAUUACCUUGAAUUGUUUUUCAAAUAGAUUGCCUAUCUCUAAUUCACUUAGUUGUUCUUCCGGGGUUUUAUCUUGUUCGUUUGUCUGGAAUAUGUUUUUCUGCCAUUUCAUUUUGUCUAACUUUCUGUUUUUGGUCUCCUUUCCUCAGGCUGUAGGAUUGUAGUUCCUCUUGCUUCUGGUGUCUGCCCCCAGUGGGUGAGAUUGAUUUAGGGGCUUGUGCAGGCUUCCUGGUAGGAGGGACUGGUGCCUGCCUACUGGUGCAUGGAGGUGGAUCUUGUCCCUCUGGUGGGCAGAAGUGUGUCAAGGAGUGUGUUUAGAGGUGGCUGUGAGCUCAGUACAACUUUAGGCUGCCUGUCUGCUGAUGGGUGGGGCUAUGUCUUCCCCCACCCCCCACCAUGACUGCUGGUUGUUUGACCUGAGGCCUCCCAGCACUGGAGCCUGCAGGCUGUAGGGUGGGGCCACUUCAUGAUGCCAAAAUGGCGACCUCUGGGAGAGCUCACGCCAAUCAAUAUUCCCUGGGUCCUUCACCACAGGUGUCCUUGCACAGAGAGAGCCACAAUCAACCCCCACCUCUUCAGGAGACCCUCCAAUACCAGCAGGUAGGUCUAGUCCAGGCUCCUAUGAAGUCACUGCUUUGUGCUGGGUCCCAGUGCACAUGAAAACUUGUGUGCACCCUCCAAGAGUGGAGUCUCUGUUUCCCUCAGUCCUGUGGAGCACCUGCACUCAAGGCCCACUGGCCUUCAAAGCUAAAUGCUCUGGGGACUCCUCCUCCUGAUGCCGGACCCUCAGGCUGGGGAGCCUGACAUGGGGCUCAGAACUCUCACUCCUGUGGGAGAACCUCUGUGAUAUAAUUAUUUUCCAGUUUGUGGGUUACCUACCCAGUGGAUAUGGGGUUUGAUUAUAUGGGGUGUGUGGGUGAGGUGACCCGUGUGUGCUCCCAGUAGGGCGGAGGCAGCAAUCAGCCCCUGCUCAUGGGUCUUCCAGUGGCAGCAGCGGCCCCCAUGCCCCCGGGAUAGUGGGGGCAGCAAUUGGCACCUGCUCUUGUGUUUCUUAGUGGUGGUGGCAGCCCAUGCACUCCCGGGACAGCAGAGGCAGUGACUGGCACCUGCUUCCAUGUCUCCUGUUCUUUGUUUUCUUGUGCAAAAUUGUCUUGGCUAUUCCUGGACUGUUACUGUUCUAGAUGAAAUUUUAAUAUCAUUGUCAGGUUCCACAAAAACUGUUGCUUUCUGCCUUCAUUUCUUGAGUGAAGUUUAGCUUUUAAAGCUUAAUAUUACUAUUGUAGAAUCACUAGCUUCUUAUAAGCGUAAUUUCUGUCUUUUCCAGCAUAGAUGUUCUUCUCUUCUUCAGUAGCUUCACACUUGGAAGUGUUCCAACAGAAUGAGAACCUGACUAUCCUAAGUGGCUGAUAAAGGCGUUAUUGCAGUUACAGGAAUGCUGAUUGUUCCAUAACAUAUGUAACUAAUCUGGGUACAUUUUGUAGACUGGUGAUAAAACACAUCACAUCUUAAAUCUCUGAAUGAUGUACUUACGUGUGUAUAUGUAUUUAUAUGUGUGUACACACCUUCAAAUAAAAAACAGAAACAAAACCAUCUUGGGCCUUUGAUUUGAAGCACUCUGCACUUCCCAGGUGAUUCUGCUUCUGCUUUCCUGAGCCAACUACUAAGGGAACCUCAAUGUGAUGAUGAAUAGACUUGUCUCAAAAAGGAGGAUGAAGGGGAGCAAAAUAUGCCAUCCCAAAAUAUGCCUCUUUGGCAUAAGGAUUAUUUUGAGUGGAUUAUUUUUAAGAAACAGAAGAAAAGCUCUAAAAAUCUAGUAGAAGUUACUCAUUUGUAGGAGACAUUUACAUUUAUAAGAAAUUUUUAUUUGUAAGUGUGUCUUCUAAUCUGUGCCAGGAAGAGAAGGAUGACUCUAAAUCACAAGAAAUUCUUAUCAGUGGAGAAGAUACCCAACUUAAAUCUACAUAACAACCUUACUCUCUGUUUACUGUGUUUUUCCUAGUAACUUCCUAUAACUGGCCUUCUCCACCUCCCAACAUUUUUCUUGUGUCUUUAGCUGAAAAAGUAAUUUAAGAUGAUGGCUUGGGCUAUUUGGGGGAGUUAGUUUUCCAGGGUCUCCCCCAUGUAUACAGGAUGUAUACAUGUUAUUUGUUUUCUAUUUGUUUUUCUCCUGUUAAUCUGUCUUUUAUUACAGGGGUGGGGUCUCAGCCAACAACCUAGAGUGGUAGAGGGAAAAUUUUUUUUCCUCACUGACAGUUUGGUGACCCAUGAUGGGAUCUGCUGAAACACUGUACUUCUUCUGGAGCCUGAAGAUAGGAACCUGGAAAACUGGCAGAAGCCAGCAAAGGUUAUUUCCCAAAGCCCUGCAAACUGAAUGUGAAUGGACUGACAUAAAGUUCAGAGAAAUGACCCCAGCAGCUCACGUUUAGAUCAUCUUUGUGCCUGUUGCUGUGUGGACCACUCAGGAAGUUUAUCUGAACAUCGAUGACAUCAGACAAAUUCAAGUUGCAGAAGAUGCUUCAACCCCAACAUCUAGAAAUCUGACUGGCGGCCUUCGGGACUCAGGCUGAGUUUAUAAUUUGACCCAACCACUAACUUUCGUUUUUCUCGUUUCCAUAGACAUGACUCUUAUUAAAUACCCAAUUGCUCGCACCGUGUAAGGUUAACUUCAGGACUCCACCUGCAACACCAGCUCCUGAACUGAGACACAACUGUUUAACUAAGCUGACCUAUCCUCGAGAUUAAGAGUACACGGGCCUCUCACUGCUGUGGCCUCUCCCCUCUCCCGUUGCGGAGCACAGGCUCCGGACGCACAGGCUCAGCGGCCAUGGCUCAUGGGCCUAGCCGCUCCGCGGCAUGU